rnacentral:misc_RNA from 1 species
AAGUCGUAACAAGGUCUCCGUAGGUGAACCUGCGGAGGGAUCAUUAACAAAGCAAGGUGUUCAGGAAAGAGGCGACUGCGUAGCAGGAGCGUCUUUUCUGAAUUCCCAAAAUCAUGUUGCCACCGAUGGUUGGAUUUCAAUUGUUGGUGGCACACAUACAUUUACAUUUCAACAACAACCACUACAACGAUAAACAAACAACAACUUUUAACAAUGGAUCUCUUGGCUCUU